rnacentral:rRNA from 1 species
UACGUAGGGUGCGAAGCGUUGUCCGGAAUUAUUGGCGUAAAGAGCUCGUAGGCGGUCUGUCGCGUCUGCUGUGAAAACUCAGGGCUUAACCCUGAGCUUGCAGUGGGUACGGGCAGACUAGAGUGCGGUAGGGGAGACUGGAAUUCCUGGUGUAGCGGUGAAAUGCGCAGAUAUCAGGAGGAACACCGGUGGCGAAGGCGGGUCUCUGGGCCGUAACUGACGC